rnacentral:rRNA from 1 species
UGGGGAAUAUUGGACAAUGGGCGAAAGCCUGAUCCAGCCAUGCCGCGUGUGUGAAGAAGGUCUUCGGAUUGUAAAGCACUUUAAGUUGGGAGGAAGGGCAGUAAGUUAAUACCUUGCUGUUUUGACGUUACCGACAGAAUAAGCACCGGCUAACUCUGUGCCAGCAGCCGCGGUAAUACAGAGGGUGCAAGCGUUAAUCGGAAUUACUGGGCGUAAAGCGCGCGUAGGUGGUUUGUUAAGUUGGAUGUGAAAGCCCCGGGCUCAACCUGGGAACUGCAUCCAAAACUGGCAAGCUAGAGUACGGUAGAGGGUGGUGGAAUUUCCUGUGUAGCGGUGAAAUGCGUAGAUAUAGGAAGGAACACCAGUGGCGAAGGCGACCACCUGGACUGAUACUGACGCUGAGGUGCGAAAGCGUGGGGAGCAAACA